rnacentral:rRNA from 1 species
UACGUAGGGACCAAGCGUUGUUCGGAUUUACUGGGCGUAAAGGGCGCGUAGGCGGCAAUUCAAGUCAUCUGUGAAAUCUCCGGGCUUAACUCGGAACGGUCAGAUGAUACUGCUUUGCUAGAGUGCGGAAGGGGCAAUCGGAAUUCUUGGUGUAGCGGUGAAAUGCGCAGAUAUCAGGAGGAACACCGGUGGCGAAGGCGGGUCUCUGGGCCGAUACUGACGCUGAGGAGCGAAAGCGUGGGGAGCGAACAGG